ACCUCCUCUGCCCUGAGAGCGCGUCCGGUGCGGGCGGAGUCGGAUGGACUCUGGCUUCACGCCUCGCGCGGGCACACCUUCUCCCGGGCACUGAGGCCCAGGGGAGGCAGAGUCCUUCUGGAGUUUGACCCUUGGAUUCCAUCCAGAGCAGCCUCCAAAAUGACACCUUUGAAGUUGUGUAUCGAGCUGGGGGAUGUAAAGGGAGGAGAAGAAAGAAGAUGAAGAGAUACCAGCCAGCCUUAAGGAGUGGACAUCCUGCCUGGUGAAACUGAACAAGACACCGACCGCAUGUGAGUGAACCAAGCCCUAGUUGCUGGGCUCCGACAAACAUGGCUGGUUUGGGGAAGGGUAUGUAAGAGUGGGUGUGGAGGGUUUUGGCCUGAUAAUGAAGGUAGGCUUCUUGGAGGUAGAGGACCCUGGAAGUUGAGUGGAGUUGAGGGAACAGCCUGGCAACAUCCUGGGCCAAGGCAGGCAAGGUGUGAGUAUGGCUCUGGUGAGAGGAGGUAAGUCUGAG
rnacentral:lncRNA from 1 species